AAGGGACUCUCGUCUGGACUAUCGUCUGACAACCUCUCUCCCACCUCUCUCCCUGUCACCGGCUGAAAAAAAGCACCCCCAGUGGAAAGAGAUGUUUUCUCCAGUGGAAAGAGAUCCUUCUGAACACAUCUCCUCCGGGUACCUGGGCCUCUCAGUUUGUUCUUUCAGACUCACGCCUGACUGGUGUUUCCCAGGCCCCAGAAGUGGCACAGUCACUGUCAUGCAUCACGACAAUCCCAUCCUGAUGCAUCAGGGCUCCAUCCACGGCAGGCUUUUCAGGAAGAACGCGGCCUUAGGAAGAGGCAGAGCCCGGAAGCUGGCCGUGUGCACCUGCCUUCGGGCAACGAGCUCUAGGAUUCUGAUGUCAGCUUGCAUCUAAAACAUUUCUGAGUGAACAUCCUACAUGAAAGAUUUGUAAGGAGAACCAAUCUGCCAUGGACCCUGUGCGAGCCUGCAUCUUCUUGCGAGGUGGGCCAAGAAUGCAAGGCUUGGCUGGACUUUAUCUACGCCAGAUAUGUUUGCAGCAGCCAUUCUGAGAGAUGAGGAAUGUAGCCCACCGCAUGCACCAGGAUGCAUUCUGGACCCUUAGCCUGGCCCCAUGGGAAUGAUGGGACUCGUGGUGAGCCUGCACAAACCAGCAUCAAGCUCUGCAACUCUUCGCUGGAAACAUCAUUCUGGUGAAAACCACAAGGCCAUUCGAGCAGCAACUCCUAAAUACCACGUCAGUGAAAUCCUCCUUGCCAGAACUGAUUCCAUUUAACUUCUGUACCUUUGAGGAACGAAGGCACAGGUUGUUUAGACAGAGCAUAAAUAAUUUUCUCAUAUGAGUGUAUCCUGUGGAUUCGUAUUACGAGAUAUCGAUGGAAAGAUGAGGGGUGCGUAAAGUCACAAUUCACCUCCUAACCUUCAACCUUGGCUUCUGGGCACACACCUUUGCUGCAUUCAUUUGUCACCCCCACACCGAAUCCAGAAGCCCAGGACUUUCCUUCGAGAUGGGAAAGGCAUCAGGAAGGCUGUCUGCAGGCUCACAGGGCAGGGCCGCAGAACUCAGCUGUCCUUGGACUAAGGGGAGAUUUUGGUCUAUUUGCACCAGGAGUGACUCGAGCUGUCGUCUCAGCUGCUGAUUUUACCUGCUUGGACAUCACUUUGAUUUUGGACUUCAUUUCUUGUCAGUUCACUCACAAAAUAUGAUUUCUUCACAAUAUUUUUGCCAUCAGAUUAUAGCAUAAAGCUGUAUGUAAAAAAAAAAUUUUUUUUGACAUUUAUUCAUUUUUGAGAGUGAGAGAGACAGAGCUU